AUUUUCAUGAUUUUUCUACUAGGUAAGGGUUCUGUCUCCUCUGUAAGUAUUCUGGUACCUUGUAUCUCAUCAAACAGCAAAUACACACGCGUGUAUUCUGAAUACCAGUGAUUCUUAAUCUAGAUCCAUGAGACAUUUGACUUUUGCUUAACUUUAUUAAUUCCACAAUUUUACCAAACUAAGAAUAAUAAUCACUAUCUGUUUAGGAAUAAUUCUGAAUAUUUGCUAUUCAAUUGCAAGAAAAAAAAGAAAAAAAAGAAAAAAAUAGAGUGGGGCCCUGAACCUGUUUAAUGCUGUGCAAGUUAGGACACCUCCAGGACAUGAUGAUUACCAUUUGUGGUUAAAGCAAUGGCAACAGCUUUCAAGUCAAGCUCUCUAACAUGAUAUAAGCUAGGAAAAAAAACCAAAAAACAAACAAAAGCAAAAGCAUAAACAAAAAACAAAAAUCAACCAACCAAACAAAAAAAACAGUCACAAAAUCAGCACUAAAUCUUCAUGGAUCUAGAUCAAGAAGCAAUCUCUGAUUCCAAAACCCUACCAGACAAGUAUGAACCUGCUGUUUGACAAGAUAUCAAGUGAUUUGUGGCUGUAGAGAUCUCCCUUUAUUUCCUAGGUAACUUAAUUUACCGCAACAGGGAAAUUAGCUUUCUACUAACUUCUUGUACUAACACUGCUGUUUUAUGGCUCUUCUUUCUGCAAGAAGUAAUCAGUGAUUUUGAUGCUGAGUUUGAACAGGGGCAGACUAAUCGGAGUUUACCAGGGAACUAAAUUCAACCAGCAUAGAUCACCCAAGGAGGAUAGAGAGGAAGAUAGUUUACCUUUUCAUCACCUCAUAUCCAGACAACAAUGAAAGCCUUCUAAACAUUAAAUUUUUGUAAAUUAGCUUCUCUGCACAGGGGUGCUGCCCACUCCCAGUGGAAAGUGGACAAAACCUCUCCAUAUCCUGGUGUCCAUUCAGGAAGACAAGUAUUAGCAUGGCAAGAAUAAGAGAUAAUAAAGGAAAGUUUGAUUUUCUACUAGUCUGGGAA
rnacentral:lncRNA from 1 species